rnacentral:misc_RNA from 1 species
GAUGAAGAACGUAGCGAAAUGCGAUACGUAGUGUGAAUUGCAGAAUUCUGUGAAUCAUCGAAUCUUUGAACGCAAAUUGUACUUUCCAGUAAUCUGGGAAGUAUGCUUGGUUGAGGGUCAUUAAAAUAACAUUCGUGAAUUUUUUCGCGGAUUUGAGUUUUCCAGUAUUUUUAUUAAAAAAAAAAUGUUGGUAACUUUAAAAUUAUUUAUUACUUGGUACAAGUUGAAACGUGCUAUAUGUGUGGUUCGCUGACAACUUGUCCAUCUUCAUAUAUUAUGCGCGUACUUAGUUUUUACGCUCUGUGCGACUAUAUAUAUUUUUUUAUGACCUCAGCUCAAGCAAGAAUACCCGCUUAACUUAAGCAUAUCAAUAAGCGGAGGA